AGGUCAUUGGAAUGGGCUUGGAAAAACAAGCGUGCACGAAAUGCUGCUGGGACUUUUAUGCAGAAUGAUCAUAUUUCCCAGCAGCUUGACGAUAAGGUGCUGGAGCUAGAGCAGGAGAUAGAGCAGGAGCUAGAGCGGGGGUGGAAACAGAAGAGAGAGCAGAAGCCACAACAGCAGUGCUUCAACAAGUGGGAUGCGCCGUGCUACCCCCCUGGACAUUCAGUGUGGCCCCAUCAAAACAAUCUGUCACCGAGGAAAUACUUCAACAAGCCAGACGGACCAUGUGUCCUUGGGUAUGCAUCUUUGCCCCCUGUACAGCUGGGUCGUCACAACUACCAACCUCUGUGGCGCAGCCACCACCAUCAAAACAGCAGUUGACUUCUAGCAGUGAGUUUGGACCUCAUGAGGUAAAGACAUUGGUGAAGCUUAUGAUAUUCUGAUAUCUCCUCUAUUGGCAUGUAGCUCUGGAACAGACCAUCUUCACUUGUUAAAAAUUACUCGCAAGAUACAUAUUCUAAGUAGUACUCCCUCCGGUCCUUCUUACUCCGUGUAUUAGAUUUGUAUCAAGUCAAACUUUGCAAAGAUUGACGAAAUUUAUAUUAAAAAAUAUCAACAUAUACAAUACCAAAUAUAUUAUUAUAUGAAACUACAUUCCAUAAUGAAUCUAAUGAUAUUGAUUUCAUUCUAUGAAUGUUGAUACUUUUUUCUAUAAGUUUGGUCAAAUUAGAGAUACUUUGACUUUCAGCUGAACUUAUUUGCAGACUAGAAAUGACCGGAGGGAGUAAUUCUCUCACAUGUGCUGUCAUGCCGAUGGACCCAACUUGACAUGUUCCGUGCAUUUUUUAAUUAUUUGUUUUGAAAGUAAAAGAGGGAAACAAACUAUGGGCACCAAGUUUAAAAAUAUGUAAUCAGUAAGUCUAAAAGCAACUGCAUUAUUAUAGUAAAUUCAUUAUUUGAGUUCAUUGGAAUAUAAUAAGCAACAAAGAUGAAAUUAUCUAUUUCUGCUGUGAUGUGCUACUUUUGACGUGUUGCCUAGGUGUCUGUUUUUUCAUCAUCUUACUACUAUAAGUUGUUAAGAUUUCAGGCACCCCAGCCAUGCUUCAACAAUUGCAGUGGAGCCAGCUACCAUGGGUAUUAACAACAAUUUUCUGCCCCUAACUCAUUUGCCUAUGGCGCACACACCUGCUAUGCCAGCUACCAACACCAGUGGCUGCAACUCUUACUUUGGAGCUGCCUAUUGGUGCGUUUUGGCAGCAUUCACCUCCUGUGGUGCAGCGUCAGCCAACACCUAGUGAGAUAAAAAAAAAAGCACUGAAAAAACCUAUGUUUGCUGACAUGUUCCUCUUUUAGACAGUAGACAUGGAGUGAAUCUCUCAUUAAGAUUACUUUUUCAAGAUGAUCAUUCUUGCAAGUAAUUCUGGGCUUGUUGCAUAUGCAAAACCCUUGUGUGUUUCAAACUGAAAUUUAAAGAGGGUUACAUAGUGUCAAGACUCAAGACUAUGUAAGGUAAUAUCCUCUCAUAGUUUGACAUUGUUUCUUGAAACAUAAACGUAACCAUUUUGCUGAAAUGUGAGCACGUAAGGAAAGGUGCUAACUUUUCAAAAAAGAGGAGGAAUCCCAUCGAAAGGAGCGAAUGCUGGAGAAAUGUGUGGUAAGGUUGAUGGGGAGCCUGGAGUGGCCAAAUGAAGUGUAGAUGCUGAACUAAGGAAACUAGUCAACAUUUAAUAUCCUCUUUCAGUUGAUUGUGCUGAAAAAUAUAUAAUAAAAAUAUGGUUAAUCCUAGUAACUCGAAACAUGUGCAUUAUUUGUUACCAUAGAAAAGUUUCGGGAGUUGUGGUUUUAGAGAAGAGGUGACAUGUGGCAUUCUCUUGCGGAACAUUUUUGUUGUUGACUAAUUAGUUGAUUUUGCCGUGCAGUGAUAUUACUGGCUAGAUUUGACUGGAUCAAUGGCUAUGCUCAGGUGAGAGUAUGGUGUAAAUGUUUAAGCUUUCUGUGUGUGUACUAUCGGGAAUUUGUUUCUACCUGAACAGUCAUCUUCUGAUAGAUACGCAUCAGAUAAACAUGUCUUGUGUUAUAGUCUCACAAUAUUUCUUGAAUAGAAGUGGAAUAAUUGACUGAAAAAUAUUUUCACAUG